rnacentral:rRNA from 1 species
GCAAGUCGAACGGUGAACACGGAGCUUGCUCUGUGGGAUCAGUGGCGAACGGGUGAGUAACACGUGAGCAACCUGCCCCUGACUCUGGGAUAAGCGCUGGAAACGGCGUCUAAUACUGGAUAUGUGACGUGACCGCAUGGUCUGCGUUUGGAAAGAUUUUUCGGUUGGGGAUGGGCUCGCGGCCUAUCAGCUUGUUGGUGAGGUAAUGGCUCACCAAGGCGUCGACGGGUAGCCGGCCUGAGAGGGUGACCGGCCACACUGGGACUGAGACACGGCCCAGACUCCUACGGGAGGCAGCAGUGGGGAAUAUUGCACAAUGGGCGCAAGCCUGAUGCAGCAACGCCGCGUGAGGGAUGACGGCCUUCGGGUUGUAAACCUCUUUUAGCAGGGAAGAAGCGAAAGUGACGGUACCUGCAGAAAAAGCGCCGGCUAACUACGUGCCAGCAGCCGCGGUAAUACGUAGGGCGCAAGCGUUAUCCGGAAUUAUUGGGCGUAAAGAGCUCGUAGGCGGUUUGUCGCGUCUGCUGUGAAAUCCCGAGGCUCAACCUCGGGCCUGCAGUGGGUACGGGCAGACUAGAGUGCGGUAGGGGAGAUUGGAAUUCCUGGUGUAGCGGUGGAAUGCGCAGAUAUCAGGAGGAACACCGAUGGCGAAGGCAGAUCUCUGGGCCGUAACUGACGCUGAGGAGCGAAAGGGUGGGGAGCAAACA